rnacentral:tRNA from 1 species
GCCUGGUUGGCUCAGUCAGUUAAGCGUCUGACUUGGGCUCAAGUCAUGAUCUAAUGGUUUGUGGGUUCGAGCCCCACAUCAGUCU